UACGGGAAGGGCAAGCGUUAUCCGGCGUGACUGGGCGUAAAGAGUCCGUAGACGGUAAAGUAAGUUUAUUGUUAAAUUUUAAAACUUAAUUUUAAGAAAGCGAUAAAUACUGCUUUACUCUGAGUUUAAUAUAGAAAAGUGGAAUUUUAUAUGGUAGGGGUGAAAUCCGAUAGAUAUAUAAAGGAAUGUCAACAGCGAAGGCAACUUUUUUGGUUAUAAACUGACGUUGAGGGACGAAAGUGUGGGGAGCGAACAGG
rnacentral:rRNA from 1 species